GUUGAUAGGCUGGGUGUGUAAGCACAGCAAUGUGUUCAGCUAACCAGUACUAACAGGUCGUGAGGCUUAGCCAC
rnacentral:rRNA from 1 species